AUGAAGGAGCUGCUGCACAAGCUGCAGCACUCGGCGCACUCUGCCGAGGACUUGUUGGAUGAGCUGGACUACUUCCGCAUCCAUGACGAGCUCCAGGGCACGUAUGACGCUGCAGACCAGCAUACCAAGGGCAUCAUCCUUGACCUUGCCCUCAAUGCUCGUCACACGGCCAAAGCUGUUGCCAAACUGCUUGGUUUAUCAACGCGCUCGUCUCCUGCCAGCCCUGCUCAACGUGGUCAAAGGGAAGUUGGCUGCUGCGUUUGGCCGCGUGCUAAGCAGAGCUCACGCAGAAUUCCCCCCUCCUCAACACCAGAUGCCAAUCAUACUGAUGAGAGGGUCAGCGGAUGCAUUCCCAAGUUCGGUAAACUCCUCCCUUGCUCAUCUUCCCCACAUGUUGAUGAUAAUUAUGGCCAGCCAACUCUUCGUGGUGCACCCCAGAAAGAAACACCAAUGCUGCGGUUUAAUAGGGUGGAUGUCUCACAGAGAAUGAAGCACAUUGUUGAGCAACUGCAGCCCUUGCGUACAUCAUUUAUCACCAUUCUGCAGAGUUGUGGCCAUAAAACUAUCCCAGACAUUACCCAUAGUCGCCCCAUCACCACCGGUCGAAGCAUAGAGCCAAAAUUAUACGGGAGGGACCUUAUAGUGAAAAGCAUCAUACAUGACAUCACCAAAGGGGAAAACCGUGGCAAUGAUCUUACUGUGCUUCCGAUUGUUGGUUCGGGUGGGAUAGGGAAAACAACUAUGAUACAGCACAUAUAUAAGGAUAAGCAAGCGCGAGCCCAUUUUCAAGUACUGAUUUGGGUAUGUGUAUCUGUCAAAUUCAAUCUGAAUAAGUUGCUUGAAGAUAUUAAUAAGGAAAUCCCACCAGUUGAAGGGGAAAAGGGGAAUAGACCAGAAGAGCUAAUUGAACAAAAAUUAAAACCGAAAAGGUUCUUGCAUGUAUUGGAUGAUAUAUGGGAGUGUAGUAAUGAGGAUGACUGGAAAAGAUUAUUGUUGCCGCUCAAAACAUCACAAAAAGAGGGCAGCAUCAUUCUAGUCACAACUCGGUUUCCAACAAUAGCAAAGAUGGUUGAAACAACUAAGCAUAUAGAGUUGGAAGGUUUAGAAUCUGAAUAUUUUAGGAAGUUGUUCCAUGCUUUUGUCUUUGGUGAUGACCAAUGUAGAAAUGAUCACAGUUUUUUGCUCGAGACCGGAGAUAAGAUAAUGGAAAAACUAAAGGGAUCCCCUCUUGCUGCAAAAACUGUUGGUGCAUUACUAAGAAAAGACCUUAAUUUGCGUCAUUGGAGAAGGGUCUUACAAAGUAAAGAAUGGGAGAGACAGACUGGUGACAAUGACAUUAUGCCUGCCUUGAAGCUUAGUUAUGACCAUCUUCCUGUCCAUCUGCAAAAAUGCUUUUCCUAUGCUGCAUUGUUUCCUGAAGAUUUCCAUUUCAGUAGCAGCAAUCUGAUUAACUUGUGGAUAGGACUAGAUAUCUUACAGAUAGCAUCGUCAAAAAACAGAGGAAGGUUUCAUCCUAUUACAGAGUUUGAUUAG
rnacentral:rRNA from 1 species